rnacentral:lncRNA from 1 species
UUUGAGGGUGCUAUCUUCUUUUGUUUUCUUUUGAUUUUGCUUUUGAUUUCUUUUUAUUUUGAUUUUUUUUUGAUUUUGCACCCUCCUCUUUCUUUUUUUCCUUUUUUUUGUUUUAUUGUUUGUUUUUUUUUUGUUAUGCCCCAGUUGGCUGUUCUGCUGAUUCUCGAGAUGCAGCUGAGUGAUCUUCUUUUUUUGCUCAAGAAGUCGGGAAAUCUCGUCAGGAAUCCCUUCAACAUCAUCUUCGUCCGCUUCAAAUACAGGGAAUUCAAAAUUGGGAGAUGACGUCCGAUCAUUAUGUUCAAUGGGUUUGAGAAACAACCUGCAUAAUGAUUUAGAUAUGAAAAGCUCUUUGAAAAUCAAACAAGACAAUCGUUAUGCAGAUGAA